GCUCGUCUAGCUCGACCGGUAGAGCUGAAGGCUCUUAACCUUGAGGUGUGGGUUCAAGCCCCACCAUGGGCG
rnacentral:tRNA from 1 species